AAUAGGGGAUCCUUUGGAAGAAAUCCCUUCCGAGGAAGAAGAUGGAAGUAUAAACUGUGAAAUAGGAUUGGCCAUUGUAGUAGCAGAAGAAAGGGAGAUCACCGAGAGCACUAACGCUAAGGAAGAAGGAACAGGGGAUCCUUUGGAAGAAAUCCCUUCCGAGGAAGAAGAUGGAAGUAUAAACUGUGAAAUAGGAUUGGAGGAGACUACAGAUGAAACUAUCUCAAUGACAAAUACCAUUCUCUGGAGCUCCCAGCAGUAUGAAAGUGAACAUCAAGAUCCUACUGGAUCUGACUGAGAAGAUAGUGAUCUAGGCUGAAGAAUGCUUGGGGGUUGGAACUUCCUGUCUCAUCACUGCUGCCUCAAGACUUGGUGGAAACAUAGACUUAUUUGAGCAUCUUCUCACAUUCUUUUGAUGCUUGCAGUUCAUCUUUCCAUUGUUGUUCUGAUUACCGUGAUCAUUUAGUACCAUUUUUUUCAAGGAAAUCAUUCUAGAUCGGUGCCAGCUGGGGUAACUGCCCUCUUUGAUUCCUUCUCACACAGGAUUAACAUCUGCCACUGUGCACCAGGACUGCUCCAGACAAAUGAAAUACUAUCUAGCCUAUUUCAUUAAUAGCAUUCCUUUAUAAUUCUGAAAAUAAUAAUGGUGAGGCCUGUACAACAGCUGCCACACAUUUCUUUUAAAAACAAAAUAAAACAGAGAAUUAUUAUGUAACGGGAACUUUCCCAAAAUCAACCAGCUAACUCUGCUGCACAGUAAGAGUCACCUGAAGUCUUUAUGUAGAACAAUAAAACAUCUGCAAACAGAUCUGAAAACUUA